UUCCUCGCGAUGGACGCUCGCUGCGCGCAUUCGGGUAUGACAAUGAAUUAUUCCACAUUUUAUUCGCUUAUAUCGGUUCUUAAAGCGCUAGAAAUGGACAUAAAGCUACUUUAGCUAGCCAGCUAGCUAGCAGCAAUGACAGAAAUGGAGGCCCGCUGUGUGAUGGAGAUAUCGAGGAGGCCGAUGGGGUUCUUCAGGUUUUCUGUCCUUGGCAUGACUAUGACUUUAAUCUAAAAACAGGGAAAUCAAGCACAGGUUUACAGCAACAAGUUUAUGAAGUGAAAUUGGAGGACGG